UUAGCCCCUAAGGAUGCUGAAUGUUUGCGCCCGCAAAAAUUCAGCAUCCUUAGGGGCUAAAAGAAGUAGGAGUUCAAUCUUGCCUUCUAUUUUUCUUCCACAGAUGGCGACAUCAUUCUGAAGACCCAAGCCUCCCCUGUGUUUACGGAUGACGAUGUCACCUUGUGUUAUCAGCAUCAGAGCGGCAAACACAAACAAACCAGCUUCUUUAAAAACGGAGCAUUGAUUGACUCUAACAGUUCGUCCGGUUCAGACCGAGUCAUAAAGAUGACUCUUAAGAAUGUGACACGGGAAGAUGAAGGCUUCUACAGGUGUGCGUCAGACAGCUGCAGAGUCCAGAGAGCUGGUUAUCAGUGAGACCGGACAGAGGAAACUUCACAUCAGAGGAGACUCCAGCCUCCACUGUUAUUUUUCUUAUUCAUAUACAUCUACUUGUUUUGGAGGAAAUACUCAAUAUUAAUCAACACAUUUUUCAUUAUUGAGUGAAGCCUUUUGGUUGUCUGGUUCUCCUCCUGCUCUGUCUUUUCAUCAAGGUCUAAUUUCAUCAGGAAGAUCCCUCAGGAUCUAAUGAGAUGAAAGAAACUACAAUGGGACUCAGUAGAGCGCAUAUUCACCAAGGCCCAGCAGUCCCCUUAAAUACAAUCAAGCCGCACCAAAUUUCACACACUCAUAGAUAUCAGUCCUCUACAUACGGCAGAUUUUUUUCAUUAAGGUCCAAGAAUUAUUCCCUAGGAAAACGUUUUAAAAGCACAAUGUUAAAGAAAGAGUUAAAAAAUGACUGGAUCAGCUUAAUACCAAAAUACAGUGGGCCCUUUCCUGACACUUACUACAUCUGUCUGCCAAGUUGAUUGGAAAUCCAAUUGUUGUUGUUAUUAUAACAGUUUUAUUUAUUUAAACAAGUAUUAUGUCGUCUUGAUCAGGUUCCUGGAAAUGGAUCAUUGCUUCAUGUGGGGUUCUACUUCUGAUCGUCAUUCCUUUGACUGUUUGGCUCGUUUGUCACUACAGGUACCAGAAGUUCUGCACUUGGAGCUGCUGGCCUGUUUCCAAACAGGAAGUUCCAGCAGGGGUGCUUCCUGCCACCAAGUUGGAUGUGACGGAGGUGCAGUGGGACCUGUCCUGGAUGGAGAUGUCCAACCUGUUGGAAAAGGAUUCUUAUUGUGGCACUUAAAGGGAAACUCUCUUCUGAAGCCCAGAGACUUAACUAUUGGGUCAAACCUAUGAGAAAGCUCAGUCAGUGCUGCAAUUUGUAGUAUUUGAUGGUCACAUGUCAAAAUAGUGCUACCUGAUAUAUUUUUGAAUUGAAUUAAAUGAGAUGUUUAGGAUUUAUAAGGAU